rnacentral:rRNA from 1 species
CCUACGGGAGGCAGCAGUGAGGAAUAUUGGUCAAUGGACGAGAGUCUGAACCAGCCAAGUAGCGUGAAGGAUGACUGCCCUAUGGGUUGUAAACUUCUUUUAUAUGGGAAUAAAAUGUUCCACGUGUGGGAUUUUGUAUGUACCAUAUGAAUAAGGAUCGGCUAACUCCGUGCCAGCAGCCGCGGUAAUACGGAGGAUCCGAGCGUUAUCCGGAUUUAUUGGGUUUAACGGGAGCGUAGGUGGAUUGUUAAGUCAGUUGUGAAAGUUUGCGGCUCAACCGUAAAAUUGCAGUUGAAACUGACAGUCUUGAGUACAGUAGAGGUGGACGGAAUUCGUGGUGUAGCGGUGAAAUGCUUAGAUAUCACGAAGAACUCCGAUUGCGAAGGCAGUUCACUGGACUGCAACUGACACUGAGGCUCGAAAGUGUGGGUAUCAAACAGGAUUAGAUACCCCAGUAGUC